rnacentral:rRNA from 1 species
GAUGAACGCUGGCGGCGUGCCUAAUACAUGCAAGUCGAGCGAACAGACGAGGAGCUUGCUCCUCUGACGUUAGCGGCGGACGGGUGAGUAACACGUGGAUAACCUACCUAUAAGACUGGGAUAACUUCGGGACACCGGAGCUAAUACCGGAUAAUAUAUUGAACCGCAUGGUUCAAUAGUGAAAGACGGUUUUGCUGUCACUUAUAGAUGGAUCCGCGCCGCAUUAGCUAGUUGGUAAGGUAACGGCUUACCAAGGCAACGAUGCGUAGCCGACCUGAGAGGGUGAUAGGCCACACUGGAACUGAGACACGGUCCAGACUCCUACGGGAGGCAGCAGUAGGGAAUCUUCCGCAAUGGGCGAAAGCCUGACGGAGCAACGCCGCGUGGGUUAUGAAGGUCUUCGGAUCGUAAAACUCUGUUAUUAGGGAAGAACAACUGUGUAAGUAACUAUGCACGUCUUGACGGUACCUAAUCAGAAAGCCACGGCUAACUACGUG